rnacentral:rRNA from 1 species
UCCUACGGGUGGCAGCAGUGGGGAAUUUUGGACAAUGGGGGCAACCCUGAUCCAGCCAUGCCGCGUGAGUGAAGAAGGCCUUCGGGUUGUAAAGCUCUUUCGGCCGGGAAGAAAUCGCAUCAGCUAAUACCUGGUGUGGAUGACGGUACCGGAAUAAGAAGCACCGGCUAACUACGUGCCAGCAGCCGCGGUAAUACGUAGGGUGCGAGCGUUAAUCGGAAUUACUGGGCGUAAAGCGUGCGCAGGCGGUUGUGUAAGACAGGCGUGAAAUCCCCGGGCUUAACCUGGGAACUGCGCUUGUGACUGCAGGGCUAGAGUACGGCAGAGGGGGGUGGAAUUCCACGUGUAGCAGUGAAAUGCGUAGAGAUGUGGAGGAACACCAAUGGCGAAGGCAGCCCCCUGGGUCGAUACUGACGCUCAUGCACGAAAGCGUGGGUAGCAAACAGGAUUAGAUACCCCUGUAGUC